CGCAGCACUGAUCUACCUAAGUCUGGGGAUUACCUGUACAGAUAAACAGAUGGGUGAGUUAUGAAACUCAGUGUGUAAUCCCAUAUCAAAUAACCAUACAAUGAGCAUAUACAGUAUGGGCUUAAGCCCAUUUCAGUAAAGGUUCAGUCUCAGUUAGGGCCUUAGCUCAUUACAGUAUUAGUAUCAAUUUGGGUCAGAGCCCAUCUCAGUGACAGUACAGUCCAUAUAUGCAAACAAGAGAUCUUACCCAACCAGCCUCUACACUCCAUCUCCG
rnacentral:lncRNA from 1 species